rnacentral:rRNA from 1 species
GAUGAACGCUGGCGGCGUGCCUAAUACAUGCAAGUCGAGCGAACGGACGAGAAGCUUGCUUCUCUGAUGUUAGCGGCGGACGGGUGAGUAACACGUGGAUAACCUACCUAUAAGACUGGGAUAAAUUCGGGAAACCGGAGCUAAUACCGGAUAAUAUUUUGAACCGCAUGGUUCAAAAGUGAAAGACGGUCUUGCUGUCACUUAUAGAUGGAUCCGCGCUGCAUUAGCUAGUUGGUAAGGUAACGGCUUACCAAGGCAACGAUGCAUAGCCGACCUGAGAGGGUGAUCGGCCACACUGGAACUGAGACACGGUCCAGACUCCUAAGGGAGGCAGCAGUAGGGAAUCUUCCGCAAUGGGCGAAAGCCUGACGGAGCAACGCCGCGUGAGUGAUGAAGGUCUUCGGAUCGUAAAACUCUGUUAUUAGGGAAGAACAUAUGUGUAAGUAACUGUGCACAUCUUGACGGUACCUAAUCAGAAAGCCACGGCUAACUACGUG